rnacentral:rRNA from 1 species
GGGUUGUGAGGUUAAGCGACUAAGCGUACACGGUGGAUGCCCUGGCAGUCAGAGGCGAUGAAGGACGUGCUAAUCUGCGAUAAGCGUCGGUAAGGUGAUAUGAACCGUUAUAACCGGCGAUUUCCGAAUGGGGAAACCCAGUGUGAUUCGUCACACUAUCAUUAACUGAAUCCAUAGGUUAAUGAGGCGAACCGGGGGAACUGAAACAUCUAAGUACCCCGAGGAAAAGAAAUCAACCGAGAUUCCCCCAGUAGCGGCGAGCGAACGGGGAGCAGCCCAGAGCCUGAAUCAGUGUGUGUGUUAGUGGAAGCGUCUGGAAAGGCGUGCGAUACAGGGUGACAGCCCCGUACACAAAAAUGCACAUGCUGUGAGCUCGAUGAGUAGGGCGGGACACGUGGUAUCCUGUCUGAAUAUGGGGGGACCAUCCUCCAAGGCUAAAUACUCCUGACUGACCGAUAGUGAACCAGUACCGUGAGGGAAAGGCGAAAAGAACCCCGGCGAGGGGAGUGAAAAAGAACCUGAAACCGUGUACGUACAAGCAGUGGGAGCACAGAGCAAUCUGUGUGACUGCGUACCUUUUGUAUAAUGGGUCAGCGACUUAUAUUCUGUAGCAAGGUUAACCGAAUAGGGGAGCCGAAGGGAAACCGAGUCUUAACUGGGCGUUAAGUUGCAGGGUAUAGACCCGAAACCCGGUGAUCUAGCCAUGGGCAGGUUGAAGGUUGGGUAACACUAACUGGAGGACCGAACCGACUAAUGUUGAAAAAUUAGCGGAUGACUUGUGGCUGGGGGUGAAAGGCCAAUCAAACCGGGAGAUAGCUGGUUCUCCCCGAAAGCUAUUUAGGUAGCGCCUCGUGAAUUCAUCUCCGGGGGUAGAGCACUGUUUCGGCAAGGGGGUCAUCCCGACUUACCAACCCGAUGCAAACUGCGAAUACCGGAGAAUGUUAUCACGGGAGACACACGGCGGGUGCUAACGUCCGUCGUGAAGAGGGAAACAACCCAGACCGCCAGCUAAGGUCCCAAAGUCAUGGUUAAGUGGGAAACGAUGUGGGAAGGCUCAGACAGCCAGGAUGUUGGCUUAGAAGCAGCCAUCAUUUAAAGAAAGCGUAAUAGCUCACUGGUCGAGUCGGCCUGCGCGGAAGAUGUAACGGGGCUAAACCAUGCACCGAAGCUGCGGCAGCGACACUAUGUGUUGUUGGGUAGGGGAGCGUUCUGUAAGCCUGUGAAGGUGUACUGUGAGGUAUGCUGGAGGUAUCAGAAGUGCGAAUGCUGACAUAAGUAACGAUAAAGCGGGUGAAAAGCCCGCUCGCCGGAAGACCAAGGGUUCCUGUCCAACGUUAAUCGGGGCAGGGUGAGUCGACCCCUAAGGCGAGGCCGAAAGGCGUAGUCGAUGGGAAACAGGUUAAUAUUCCUGUACUUGGUGUUACUGCGAAGGGGGGACGGAGAAGGCUAUGUUGGCCGGGCGACGGUUGUCCCGGUUUAAGCGUGUAGGCUGGUUUUCCAGGCAAAUCCGGAAAAUCAAGGCUGAGGCGUGAUGACGAGGCACUACGGUGCUGAAGCAACAAAUGCCCUGCUUCCAGGAAAAGCCUCUAAGCAUCAGGUAACAUCAAAUCGUACCCCAAACCGACACAGGUGGUCAGGUAGAGAAUACCAAGGCGCUUGAGAGAACUCGGGUGAAGGAACUAGGCAAAAUGGUGCCGUAACUUCGGGAGAAGGCACGCUGAUAUGUAGGUGAAGUCCCUCGCGGAUGGAGCUGAAAUCAGUCGAAGAUACCAGCUGGCUGCAACUGUUUAUUAAAAACACAGCACUGUGCAAACACGAAAGUGGACGUAUACGGUGUGACGCCUGCCCGGUGCCGGAAGGUUAAUUGAUGGGGUUAGCGCAAGCGAAGCUCUUGAUCGAAGCCCCGGUAAACGGCGGCCGUAACUAUAACGGUCCUAAGGUAGCGAAAUUCCUUGUCGGGUAAGUUCCGACCUGCACGAAUGGCGUAAUGAUGGCCAGGCUGUCUCCACCCGAGACUCAGUGAAAUUGAACUCGCUGUGAAGAUGCAGUGUACCCGCGGCAAGACGGAAAGACCCCGUGAACCUUUACUAUAGCUUGACACUGAACAUUGAGCCUUGAUGUGUAGGAUAGGUGGGAGGCUUUGAAGUGUGGACGCCAGUCUGCAUGGAGCCGACCUUGAAAUACCACCCUUUAAUGUUUGAUGUUCUAACGUUGACCCGUAAUCCGGGUUGCGGACAGUGUCUGGUGGGUAGUUUGACUGGGGCGGUCUCCUCCUAAAGAGUAACGGAGGAGCACGAAGGUUGGCUAAUCCUGGUCGGACAUCAGGAGGUUAGUGCAAUGGCAUAAGCCAGCUUGACUGCGAGCGUGACGGCGCGAGCAGGUGCGAAAGCAGGUCAUAGUGAUCCGGUGGUUCUGAAUGGAAGGGCCAUCGCUCAACGGAUAAAAGGUACUCCGGGGAUAACAGGCUGAUACCGCCCAAGAGUUCAUAUCGACGGCGGUGUUUGGCACCUCGAUGUCGGCUCAUCACAUCCUGGGGCUGAAGUAGGUCCCAAGGGUAUGGCUGUUCGCCAUUUAAAGUGGUACGCGAGCUGGGUUUAGAACGUCGUGAGACAGUUCGGUCCCUAUCUGCCGUGGGCGCUGGAGAAUUGAGGGGGGCUGCUCCUAGUACGAGAGGACCGGAGUGGACGCAUCACUGGUGUUCGGGUUGUCAUGCCAAUGGCACUGCCCGGUAGCUAAAUGCGGAAGAGAUAAGUGCUGAAAGCAUCUAAGCACGAAACUUGCCCCGAGAUGAGUUCUCCCUGACUCCUUGAGAGUCCUGAAGGAACGUUGAAGACGACGACGUUGAUAGGCCGGGUGUGUAAGCGCAGCGAUGCGUUGAGCUAACCGGUACUAAUGAACCGUGAGGCUUAACCUUACAACGCCGAAG